AACGGCCGCCAUUCACGGCGAUCGGACAGCGGUUUUACCCUUAUAAAUACAUCAAUCGAGCUGCAGUAAAUCGGCACGACUUUGCGGAUCCGAAAACUGGUGAAACGGCGACACACAAUAUUGUGACAAGGACGAAAACGGACGAGCCGCUCCACGCACGCCUAGAAAGGCAUUCGCGCGCGGGAUAAAUAGUGCCGGCGGUCAUAUCGUCUCCUUUAUGGAAAAAAAAAAAAUAAACAAAUAUUUGACGAAUUCCACGCG